rnacentral:lncRNA from 1 species
UGCCACCAUGCAAUUAGCCUCGGAUCUGCUAGCUCGUGUAGAUACCAUUGGGCAGGAGCUUGCAGCGUUACCUCCUUUGGAGAGGGAUGCUAUGUUAGAUCUGAUAGUCCGUAUACAUACAGAUUCGUAGAUAGACUUUGUGAGACCCCAAAUUUUAUGAAUAAAGAUUUAAAUUUCUCGAAAUAUUUUUUUUCAUAUUAUGGUGUGGAUUUGAUAUAAUGUUAUAGUUGUG